UUUGAAGUUAGCGGCGGACGGGUGAGUAACACGUGGGUAACCUACCUAUAAGACUGGAAUAACUUCGGGAAACCGGAGCUAAUGCCGGAUAACAUUUGGAACCGCAUGGUUCUAAAGUAAAAGAUGGUUUUGCUAUCACUUAUAGAUGGACCCGCGCCGUAUUAGCUAGUUGGUAAGGUAACGGCUUACCAAGGCAACGAUACGUAGCCGACCUGAGAGGGUGAUCGGCCACACUGGAACUGAGACACGGUCCAGACUCCUACGGGAGGCAGCAGUAGGGAAUCUUCCGCAAUGGACGAAAGUCUGACGGAGCAACGCCGCGUGAGUGAUGAAGGUUUUCGGAUCGUAAAACUCUGUUAUUAGGGAAGAACAAAUGUGUAAGUAACUGUGCACAUCUUGACGGUACCUAAUCAGAAAGCCACGGCUAACUACGUGCCAGCAGCCGCGGUAAUACGUAGGUGGCAAGCGUUAUCCGGAAUUAUUGGGCGUAAAGCGCGCGUAGGCGGUUUCUUAAGUCUGAUGUGAAAGCCCACGGCUCAACCGUGGAGGGUCAUUGGAAACUGGGAAACUUGAGUACAGAAGAGGAAAGUGGAAUUCCAUGUGUAGCGGUGAAAUGCGCAGAGAUAUGGAGGAACACCAGUGGCGAAGGCGACUUUCUGGUCUGUAACUGACGCUGAUGUGCGAAAGCGUGGGGAUCAAACAGGAUUAGAUACCCUGGUAGUCCACGCCGUAAACGAUGAGUGCUAAGUGUUAGGGGGUUUCCGCCCCUUAGUGCUGCAGCUAACGCAUUAAGCACUCCG
rnacentral:rRNA from 1 species